UGCCAUAGAAAUCUGAGCUGGGGCAAAGGUUGAUGAAGAUGGGGUGGAUCAAUCAGAUCCUCUAUAUGGCCUCUUCGACGAACGAGUUUUACUUGUUCCAGCUGCUUGUCAUUCUUUGCCCUGGCCGCAUGAGAUUUUGGAGCCAUGUCUCGAAAAUCCAAGUGGAUGAGAGUGAAUGAAGGGGGAAGAUGGGAUUUUUGAAGGGAAUAAGUUUAGAGCUAGGAAAUAGAGGAAUAGGGCA
rnacentral:lncRNA from 1 species